rnacentral:lncRNA from 11 species
CAGGCUCACACGCACCAAGACCCACCCCCCGCCCUCCCUUUAUAAUCAAUGCUGCUGACUUCAGCGGUUUGGACAGCACUGGGUUAUAUUUAGCCCAUUGUGUCCAAGGGAGACUGCGGCGCCCGUCCGGUGGCAAGAAGGAGGGCUGGGGGCGGCAGGGAAGGAAAGAAGCAGGGAGGGAGGGUGGCAGAGAUUGAUGAGCCAGGUGGCAUCUCUGCCUGCUGCACAGCCGCCGCGGGACGGAGGGAGGGAGGGAGGGAGGCAGCCGCAAGAAGCAGCAGCAGCAGCAGCAACCGCCUUUGCAGCGCCUUCUUGCCUGGGAGAAGCUCCAGAGGAAGAAGGCAGGGCGAGGGAAGCAGGAGAGCAAGGAAAGGCAGGGCAUAGCAGCCACCCAGCAGAACAGAAACAGCGUCUGCAGGAGCCUCAGCAGCAGCUUCCUGGGUGAUCUGAGUAAACAUGGUGGCGGCCCACACCUCCCAUGCUGCCUCCUCCAGCGAGUGGAUCGCAUGCCUGGAUAAAAGGCCUUUGGAGCGUUCUAGUGAAGAUUUAGAUAUUAUAUUCACCCGGCUAAAAGAAGUGAAAGCAUUUGAAAAAUUCCAUCCAAAUCUGCUUCAGCAAAUAUGUCUUUGCGGCUAUUAUGAAAACCUGGAAAAGGGAAUUACAUGUAAGACGUUCUUCUUUCUGGAUAAGAAAAUAUGUAAGAGGUGAAAGGAACUGUGUCUGUGUUG